rnacentral:lncRNA from 1 species
CUUUUAAAGCCUGUAUUGGACCUUUUUACUUUAUUUUUGUAGUCUCCUACCCUCCCUUGUUUGCUGCGCUUCCUUGAGUAAAUUCCUCAGAACUACCUUUAAAAUCUGUUGUCUCUAAUAUAGUUUAACUCAUCCAUUGAAUCUUUUUUCUUUUUCCUUUUUUUUACAGAGUCUCAUUUGGUUGCCCAGGCUGGAGUGCAGUGGCACAAUCUUGGCUUACUGCAACCUCUGCCCCCAGGAUUCAUGUGAUUCUCCUGCCUCAGCCUCCUGAGUAGCUGAGAUUACCAGCGCAUGCCACCACGCCCAGCUAAUUUUUGUAUUUUUAGUAGAGAUGGGGUUUCACCAUAUUGGCCAAGAUAGUCUCGAACUCCUGACCUCAUGAUCUGCCCACCUCGGUCUCCUAAAGUGCUGGGAUUACAGGCGUGAGCCACCGCACCUGGCCUUUGAAUCGUGUUUAUAGGUCACAGGUUAACACAAUUUAAAAUCUAAAGCGUGGGUACAGGGUUUCAGUUUGGAAAGAUGAAGUUCUUGAGAUGAAUGGUGGUGAUGGUUGCAUAAUGUGAAUGUACUUAAUGCUACUGAAGCAUACAGGUGCCUGAGAGUAAAGCCAGUCCAGGGAGAUUCUUGACGUUAAUAUUUAACUUCGUGUGUUGACAGACCACAUAAAUGGUAUAUACCUUGAAAAUCAAAAUGCACAUGAACACAAACUCCUGGUGAAAAAGUUUUGAGGGAUGAUUUCAUCUCUCCCAGUCCACAGCCCAGACCAAAACAGGCAAGUUUCCCUCCACUUCCCUAUGCUGGGGGGUGACGGGGUGGAAGGGGCCAGAUUUUUUUUUUUCUAGUUCACCUAUGUGCACUGCCCUUAAAAGGGUCCUGGCUUGGCUGGGCAUGGUGGCUGUUUGUAAUCCCAGCACUUUGGGAAGCUGCGGUGAGAUCACUUGAGCCAAGGAGUUCGAGACCAUCCUGGGCAACAUAGCAAGACCCCAUCUCUACAAAAACAUUUUAAAAUAAAAAAAAUAAGGGUGAAUUACUUACAUACCUUAUCUCAUCUUAAGCCCCAAAGUUAACUGUGUCAUGCGGGUUUUUAGUUUCCUUUUAGUUCUCUCUGGCCACUGGAGAUUGUACUUUAUGGUGAGCUGAUUUGUAUCAUAGUUCUACUCAGCAUUUCCAUGUGUCCUGUAUUAUAUGAAAUACACAUCAUUUGUGUGUUUCAAAGCAUUUAAAUUACCCCACUGGGGCACAGAGCAAGGUUAUA